UGUCUGUAAAGGAGAGACUCGUGGGAACUCAUAGAACCAAUUUUCAAUCACAUAUCUUGAGGUCAGAGGUCAAGUGAUCCCUUUGAAAAUGGCCAUACCAGUUUUUCCUCGCCGAAAUUAAGCAUUAGUUUGGAGCGCUUUUUGACAUGCUUCAGGACAAGCUACUAAGAGGUAUGUUUGGAG